GUUUGAGCAAGCUUCAGGAGUUGGUGAUGGACAGGGAAGCCUGGCAUGCAACAGUCCAUGGGGUUGCAAAGAGUUAAGACACGACUGAGCAACUGAACUGAACUUUCCUGGGCUAUAACACAGGAUUAUCCUUUCCCCCAAUAGCAUUUAACAGUGUUAUUCAAAUAGCUAAAAGCACUUAUUGAGGUUUCUAGGUGUUUCCUAAGCUCCAUUUGAUAAUACAGGCAAAGAGAAUAAUCUGAAGUAGGACUAAGAGUAGUCGAAAGCAGUGGUUAGAAAUUGGAAAGGACACUCUUUAAUGAAAAAAGAAUAAAAGGAAACAGGCCUUAAGAGAAUAAAAGCAAAGAGAUAACUAUUCUGAAUUUGGAUACAGGGGAGCAUGUUUUCUUAAAUCAACACAAUAAAGUGAUUGCUUAUGGGUAUUUUCUUGAGAAGGUAGAAAAAUGAGUGGCAUUGUAGAAGAAGCUGAAGGGAUGAAUUCCUGAAAUCAAAAGACUAAAUAAUUUUAAAUAUUACUUAGAUACUUCUCAUCUACUCACAACAAUGAGAAAAGCUCAUCAUACAUAAAUGAAACAUGUCUGGACUUUUGUCUCCAAUAAGUUACAGCUCAAGAUCAAAUGAACUAAGCUUUCUUUUUACAUCGGUAUGCUACAGCAUAUCAAUUAUUUGCGCUGUGUUUAACUGUGCAACUUAACUAGGCAAUUUCAUUCCUCAUCUUGAAAACUUUGCAUAGGUGUACACAGAGUUACGAUAAUAAUUAUUCCUGGUAUCAGUGAUUCUCCUUCAAUCACCACCAUAUAAUCACUCUCAUCACAAAGAUCGUGAAUUGUAUUCCCUCAGAGUCUUGAGGCUUAAAACUCACCACUAUUGUAUACUAGUUAGAUAUAAAGAGGCUUUCAAAUUUAAAGCUUCAGAUUAAUAUUUUUUUUCCACCUAGAGAGAUCAAGUAACUUGCCAAAAGGCACUUAGCCAGCUAGUGGCAGAAUGGAGGGCGCAGAAUCUAUGCUAUUCACCGUAUCUUUGAUUUCACUAACUGAAUCCAAUUCAUCCCCAGCUACAAUAGAGUCACCGUUUUCAAUCCUGAAUAGUCAAAUAAGACGAGAGUGCCAAUUUUUCUGAGGAGAUGACAAGAGAGCGACAAACGAACAUAAACCAUAAUGGAGCCUUCCCUUCCCUUAUCCUGUAAGGGCAACCUUUUUUCUCUCUUCCAGGGCCCAUUAGGGAGUUUAAAGGGCUUAAAGACAAAUCACAGGUUUCCCCAAGAGACAGAUGCCACACAAAAAUGAAAAAGAAAAUGAACAUGGACUUUUUCCCUCAAGAAUUUCAGUGCAGGAGAGAGGAACAGAAGGUAAGUUGAGAUUUUAUGGGGCAGUCUUCAGGGCCUGGAGAUGCUGAUUGUUCCCUCCUAAAUUCAGUUAUCAGACUCUAAAUAAAUCCUUUGGUAUCUUAAGUCAAAUAAUGGAAUUUGGAUCAGGUUAAAAAACAAAG
rnacentral:lncRNA from 1 species